GAUGAACGCUGGCGGCGUGCCUAAUACAUGCAAGUAGAACGCUGAAGCUUGGUGCUUGCACCGAGCGGAUGAGUUGCGAACGGGUGAGUAACGCGUAGGUAACCUGCCUCUUAGCGGGGGAUAACUAUUGGAAACGAUAGCUAAUACCGCAUAAAAGUCGACAUCGCAUGAUGUUGACUUGAAAGGUGCAAUUGCAUCACUAAGAGAUGGACCUGCGUUGUAUUAGCUAGUUGGUGAGGUAACGGCUCACCAAGGCGACGAUACAUAGCCGACCUGAGAGGGUGAUCGGCCACACUGGGACUGAGACACGGCCCAGACUCCUACGGGAGGCAGCAGUAGGGAAUCUUCGGCAAUGGGGGCAACCCUGACCGAGCAACGCCGCGUGAGUGAAGAAGGUUUUCGGAUCGUAAAGCUCUGUUGUAAGAGGAGAACGAGUGUGAGAGUGGAAAGUUCACGCUGUGACGGUAUCUACCAGAA
rnacentral:rRNA from 1 species